AUCCAACUGACAAGUCCCAGAUAGGACGAAACGCGCGCCUUGGAU
rfam:Schistosoma mansoni strain Puerto Rico chromosome 4, complete genome